rnacentral:rRNA from 1 species
AUUGAACGCUGGCGGCAUGCCUUACACAUGCAAGUCGAACGGCAGCACGGGGGCAACCCUGGUGGCGAGUGGCGAACGGGUGAGUAAUACAUCGGAACGUGCCCAGUCGUGGGGGAUAACGUGGCGAAAGUUACGCUAAUACCGCAUACGAUCUCUGGAUGAAAGCGGGGGACCGCAAGGCCUCGCGCGAUUGGAGCGGCCGAUGGCAGAUUAGGUAGUUGGUGGGGUAAAAGCUUACCAAGCCUCCGAUCUGUAGCUGGUCUGAGAGGACGAUCAGCCACACUGGGACUGAGACACGGCCCAGACUCCUACGGGAGGCAGCAGUGGGGAAUUUUGGACAAUGGGCGCAAGCCUGAUCCAGCAAUGCCGCGUGCAGGACGAAGGCCUUCGGGUUGUAAACUGCUUUUGUACGGAGCGAAACGGCUUCCACUAAUACUGGGGGCUAAUGACGGUACCGUAAGAAUAAGCACCGGCUAACUACGUGCCAGCCGCCGCCGUAA